rnacentral:rRNA from 1 species
CCUACGGGUGGCAGCAGUAGGGAAUGUUCGUCAAUGGGCGCAAGCCUGAACGAGCAAUGCCGCGUGAAUGAGGAAGGUCUUCGGAUCGUAAAGUUCUGUUGAAGGGGAAAAAGAGCGGAGAGAGGAAAUGGUCUCCGAUAGAUAUUACCGGUGGAGGAAGGAACGGCUAACUACGUGCCAGCAGCCGCGGUAAUACGUAGGUGGCGAGCGUUAUCCGGAUGGGUUGGGCGUAAAGGGUGUGCAGGCGGAGGCACAAGUCAGCGGUAAAACCGCGGGGCUCAACCCCGCUCCGCCGUUGAAACUGUGUCCCUUGAGUGCGCGACGGGUAGGCGGAAUGCGUGGUGUAGCG